CGUAACAAAUACUUUUUUGUUUUAAACACAUCAGCCUUCAGGUCUCAAUUUGUUGUGUGCAGUGUGCUUUACAUGAACUAAUACAUGCUGCACUACGAGUCUACGAAUACCAAAUCGUCUUCAAAUUACGACACACGUCAUAUAGUGUACACUAUAAAUUAGACGGUUCACUUGUAUGUUGGUUUAAAACUACCAACAGUUGUAGUAGUCUGUGCGUUAAGAUACCGAUGAACGUCACAGGAAAGGUUAUAUAAAGCAGCAGUAUUAAAUAACUACAUGCUUUUUGAUGUCAGUUGUAGUAUUCAGUCAAUAAAGCAUUUUUAUAACAAAUCCAAAAUGAUGUUUAUAACAAACCUCUUUUUCAUUUCUGAGACACACCAAGUCAUACAUUCUUGGAACCAGCAAGCAGAGCAGUCAAUUGUGUUCAAACGAACAAUUCCAGAGUAUUCAAUAAGCAUAUCCAUACACAGUGUAUGUCAAAAACAUUUCUCAACAUUUUUGUUUCAUCUAUUUGAAAAUCUCAGAAGUAAACAUGAAAACUAUCAACAACAAAAAGAGAGAUCAUGCGAAAAAUCAACUGAAUUUUUUAAAUAGUUCAAAAUGUUUAAAGACCAAAUAUACUUAUAGGCUCGUGUUGUCUAGCUUAACAAACAAUUAUAGACUCUACUAAGAUACAAAGGAAAAUGCUAUCUACCACACAUUACUAAGCCAUAUAUAUUGUUGAAACAUUUAACCACUUAAUUUCACAACAAAUACUCUUCAGAGAUAUGAAAAUUGGAUAUUACUAGUUAUGUGGAAUUGGUUGGUCUAGGUUUUACGAAAAGCUACAUAACAGAAGAAAAACCUAGCUAUUUUAUAGAACACCAGAAUAUACCCACUAAUAUUCAUAUCAGAUUUCACAAUUUCUUAAGAGGCAGAAAUGAAAAGAAAUAUUUAUAAUGCAACCAUAGACCUUAUAAUAGAUAAUCUUUCUAUGAUUUCAACUGCUGCAAUAAAGACUACUAUGUUAAUUUAAGGUGACACAAUUGAAGGGAGAUAAUUCAGUUGAACGGCUAACAGAAGUUCAAAAGCUCAAGUACUGAAACACAUCUACACAAGAUCGGAAAUAAAUCAUUAUAAAGCAAAAUUAUUGGAUGUAACUGCUGUUUUGAAAUCAGUAGGCCAAGCAGAAAAAUCAAUAUCACUUUGAGAGACAGCUACUAUAGUGAAUAGUAUUUCAGGGGCACAAGGGUUGUAAAAAAAAAAAUAUAAAACAAAUAGGUGUGCUUGUAAAUCAGCAUCCAGAAUUUUUAAUCUAAAUGUUAUGAAAAUGUGUUAUGUAAAAAAAAAAAUACACAAAUUUAAUAAAGAUAUCUAAGAAAUAAAAAUUAAAUCAACUGCUUUUGUAUUAUAUUUAAAUAAUUUACUUACUUUUCUUAAAUAUGUAAAUUUACUGUGUUUUGUGUAUCAUUGGCUGAUAUCGUUAGGAAAUAAUAACAUGUAGGUACUAGGUAACUAGGCAAUGAUAUUAUUUCCUCCCCCAUGCUCCUAUAAGGAAUGAUCAUUAUUUUCUAGGGUUUGUUGUUAUCGCCUAAAUGUCAACAUUUCUGGUAACAUAUAUGAGAGUAAAAUCUAUUUAAAGAUUUAUUGAAUUUUAGUUGGUUAAAUUAUUUCAAUUAAAAAGGACAAAAGGACUUCAAAAUCAGUCACUAACUUCUCCUAUAUUUCUAAAGUUGUACUUUGGUGUAGAUGCAUCAAUAUUAACAAUUAUCUGCAUGACAUAAAGUCUAUGUAUUCAACGAGUCCUAGCCAGUCCACCAGCAGAUGAUUCAUUUAAAUUUAUUGAUAGUUAAAAAACAAAUGUUUAUUUAUAUUACUGAUCUUAUUUUAUG